rnacentral:misc_RNA from 1 species
GAUGAAGAACGCAGCGAAAUGCGAUACGUAAUGUGAAUUGCAAAUUCAGUGAAUCAUCGAAUCUUUGAACGCACAUUGCGCCCUUUGGUAUUCCUUAGGGCAUGCCUGUUCGAGCGUCAUUUGAAACCUCAAGCUCAGCUUGGUGUUGGGUGUCUGUCCCCGCCUCACCGCGGGGACUCGCCUCAAAAUCAUUGGCGGCCGGUACGUUGGCUUCGAGCGCAGCAGAAACGCGAACUCGAGGCCCGGCGGAUCGGCGACCAGAAGUCACUUCUUCACAGUUUGACCUCGGAUCAGGUAGGGAUACCCGCUGAACUUAAGCAUAUCAAUAAGCGGAGGA